rnacentral:rRNA from 1 species
UACGUAGGGCGCAAGCGUUGUCCGGAAUUAUUGGGCGUAAAGAGCUCGUAGGCGGUCUGUCGCGUCUGCUGUGAAAACCCGGGGCUCAACCCCGGGCUUGCAGUGGAUACGGGCAGACUAGAGUUCGGUAGGGGAGACUGGAAUUCCUGGUGUAGCGGUGAAAUGCGCAGAUAUCAGGAGGAACACCGGUGGCGAAGGCGGGUCUCUGGGCCGAUACUGACGCUGAGGAGCGAAAGCGUGGGGAGCGAACAGG